CGGAGUCGACACUGAUGGAGAGACUCAGGAAGAAGUUACAACUUUUAGACGUUUCUGAAUGGAACCUCGACAACAGCGUGGAAGAUGUUCUGAAGGAGAAACAGAAGAUCACUACUCAUGUCUGCCAUGUUUUACAAUCAGAGGAUAAAGCAGAUGCUCCGCAAGCCUUCAGUUCCUCAAUGAUUCUACAGAGCAUGAACUAAUGACCUUGUGUCAUGCGCAUACAUGCAAUUAAAUUUGCAUCAAUUAAAGGCAGUAAAAUAAUAUCAUGUUGCACUCAAUAUACUGUAUAUUUAAUUAAGGAUAGCAUAUUUGUGUAACUCCUUAAAAUAGGCUUCACUUUAUUUAAGCAAAAUAUUUGUUUCUUCUGGUUUCAGUGUGUAAUCUGAUCUGGCCGAGUUCUUUGCAUGAGUGCACAUGUGUAUUGAAUGAUUAUUUUAAUUCACGUCUUUUGUGUGAGAGACUUUAUAAAGAUUUGAGUUCGUGUUUCUGCAAGAUAAUUCUGGCCUGUGUAAUUUAUAUUGAACAAAUCCCCUGGGAUCUCACAUGGCAAAAUCUACUUCCAUAAUUCACCUGACGUAUUAUUGUCAUGAACUCCAGGACGAUUACUGUGAGAGAAUGCAUCAAAUUUUAUUUCAUUCACACACACCUCAGGGAGAAACACACACAGAUACACACUCAAACACACACAGGUUUGUGAAUGAUACAUUCACUGAUUUUAUAUCAGGUCAAUGAUAUUUUCUAUCCCUGAUAUGACUUUUCUGUUUAUCAUUGCUUUGGCACAAAAUGCAUUCAAUGACGACAUCUUUCAAUUUACAUGCAUUCUUUUCUCACAUAUACACAAACGCCACCAAAGGUUUAUGUACUAUACAGGCCAAUUUGCACGUUUACAUACUCUUUUCAAAACUGUUAAACUUAAGUUCAAAACCUAAAAAAACACAAAAAUGAAUAAGACAGAUAUUUGCAACAUUAAUACCAUAUUGAAGUAUAUUCUGAAUCUAAAAAAUCAAAAACAUGUGUCUUUCGAUUCAUUACCAUCCAUUCAAAAGGGGAAAACUUGUGAAUAAUUUUGUACUGUAAUGUAAACAUGGGCUUUGUAACAUAUACUACAGUGAAUUAGUGUCAUUCGGCAGUUGAGAGUGUCAUUCUUGUUUUGUAAAGAAAUUCUGAAAAAAAAGGCCAAAGUAUUGAAAAAUGUGUCCUAGUGAUUGUAAAAAAUGCUGGUUGAGAUGCUUUUGCCUUGUUACUGUAGACUGCUUAAAUUUCUAAGUUGAUUACGUGAUCAUCAUUGAUGAAUCAGUCAAUCUGUGUGUUUUUCCACAGUAAAUGAUCAGAGUUGAAGGGGGAAAAUUUCUGUUUCUCAUUAAAGGGAUAGUUCACCCAAAAAUGAAAAUUUGAUGUUUA